CUCCUCCACCUGGUUUCUCUCUCAUUCCUGUGUUGUCAUCUGUUGGAUCAGUCUCUUUUGUGGUUUUACUGGUGUUACUGGUUCUGCUGGUGAGACGAUGUGUUCACAGGAAACCUGAAGAUCAAGAAAAAGGUAGACGUGGUAACACUGUAACUGAAGAUGACAUCAUGUACAGUGACAUUAAAAUAUCACAUCAUCAUCAUCAAGAGCCAAUCAGUCAAAUCAGAGACAGUGACCCAGCUGCUGUUUACUCUGCAGUGAGAACUGGAGACGUCACUUAUGGACAAAUCAUCAUCAAAGACAAGAAGAAAAACUCAAAGAUGAGAGACUUUAAACCAGAGCGAGACGUCGUCUACUCUUCACUGAAGUAACUAACUGGUCCCUCCAGCACCUCAGACCAGAGGACAUCUACAUGUUACAGAUUUCUAUAUGUUUUAUGUCUUUUUAUUACUAAAUUAGACUGAAUUAGAACUACUUACUGGAAGUCAGUUCAUUGACUUGAUAAUGUUGACUUUGUUCUCUGCCUGUAAUCAGUUUUA